CCCCACUGUACCCCAUUGAGACUCCAUAGACCCCUCUGUGCCCCAUAGAGACCCCACAGAUACCCCACUGUGCCCCAUUCGAACCCACAGAGACCCCACUGUGCCCCAUAGAGACCCCUCUGUGCCCCAUAGAGACUCCAUAGAGACCCCUCUGUGCCCCAUAAAGACCCCACAGAUACCCCACUGUGCCCCAUUCUGACCCACAGAGACCCCUCUGUACUCCAUAGAGACCCCAUAGAGACCCCACUGUGCCCCAUAGAGACCCCAUAGACCCCACUGUGCCCCAUUCGGACCCACAGAGAUCCCACUGUGCCCCAUAGAGACCCCAUAGAGACCCCACUGCGCCCCAUAGAGACCCCAUAGCGCCCCCCACCCUCUCGGCCCCUCCGCAGCCUCCGCAGCAGUUCGGCGUCCGUCAUUCCCCGGUACUGCUCCAUGGCCGUGACGUCAUCACCGCCGCGCCGUCGCCCGGCAGUGACGUCACGAGAGGGCGACGGUGGGUUCUCUCCGUUUAUUGGCCGCGCCCCGGCCCCGCCCCCUCCCCGCGGUUACGUCACAAUCACGGCACGAGACAGACAAUGAGGGGCGGGGCCACGAAAGGGGGCGGGGCUAUAAAUAGGGCGUGGUCGGGCGGGAGGGGGCGGGGCCACGAAGGGGGGCGGGGCCACGAGGGUGGGCGGGGCCACGAGGCACAGCGCUGUGGGGCAGAGCUAUGGGGCAGGGUAUGGGGCUGCCCAAUGGGGCUCCAUGGGGGCUACGGGGCAGAGCUAUGGGGCAGGGUAUGGGGCUGCCCAAUAGGGCUUCGUGGGGGCUAUAGGGCAGAGCUAUGGGGCAGGGUAUGGGGCUGCCCAAUAGGGCUUUGUGGGGGCUAUGGGGCAGAGCUAUGGGGCAGGGUAUGGGGCUGCGCAAUGGGGCUCCAUGGAGGCUAUAGGGCAGAGCUGUGGGGCAGGAUAUGGGGCUGCCCAAUGGGGCUCCAUGGGGGCUAUGGGGUAGAGCUAUGGGGCAGGGUAUGAGACUGACCAAUAGAGCUCCAUGGAGGCUAUGGGGCAGAGCUAUGGGGCAGGAUAUGGGGCUGCCCAAUAGGGCUUUGUGGGGGUUAUGGGGCAGAGCUAUGGGGCAGAGCAUGGGGCUGCCCAAUGGGGCUCCAUGGGGGCUAUAGGGCAGAGCUAUGGGGCAGGGUAUGGGGUUGAGCAAUGGGGCUCCAUGGGGGUUGUGGGGCAGACGAUGGGCUGCCCGAUAGGGCUCCAUGGGGCAGCCGUGGGGCUGGAUGAGCACUGUGGGUCCCGCUAUGGGGCAGGGCUGUGGGGCAGCUGUGGGUCCCGCUAUGGGGCAGGAUGUGGGGCUGUGGGGCAGCUGUGGGUCUCGCUAUGGGGCAGGAUGUGGGGCUAUGGGGCAGCUGUGGGUCCCGCUAUAGGGCAGGAUGUGGGGCUGUGGGGCAGCUGUGGGUCCCGCUAUGGGGCAGUGGCACGAAGGGGCGGAGCUCCGGCCCCGCUGACGUCACGGACCAAUGAGGGGAGAGAGGAGGCGGGGCUUCCGGCAAGCUCCGCCCCCCCAACGCUCCGCCCCUCCCGGGGCUGCUCUGGGCACAGCGCCCCCCUCUGGGGGGGAGGACCUGCGGGACGACAGCACUUAUGGGGCACCCUACAGCCCCCCCCACCCCAGAAUCCCCUACAGGGCACCCCACAGACCCCCUCUCACCCCCCUAUAGGGCACCCCACAGCCCCCCCUCCCACCCCAUAACCCCCUAUAGGGCACCC
ensembl:lncRNA